UGGGGAAUAUUGCACAAUGGGGAAGACCCUGAUGCAGCGACGCCGCGUGAGCGAUGAAGUAUUUCGGUAUGUAAAGCUCUAUCAGCAGGGAAGAAAAUGACGGUACCUGACUAAGAAGCCCCGGCUAACUACGUGCCAGCAGCCGCGGUAAUACGUAGGGGCGAAGCGUUAUCCGGAUUUACUGGGUGUAAAGGGAGCGUAGACGGCAUGGCAAGCCAGAUGUGAAAUACCGGGGCUCAACCCCGGAGCUGCAUUUGGAACUGUUGAUCUUGAGUACCGGAGGGGUAAGCGGAAUUCCUAGUGUAGCGGUGAAAUGCGUAGAUAUUAGGAGGAACACCAGUGGCGAAGGCGGCUUACUGGACGGUAACUGACGUUGAGGCUCGAAAGCGUGGGGAGCAAACAGGAUUAGAUACC
rnacentral:rRNA from 1 species